GAUGAACGCUAGCGGCAGGCCUAACACGUGCAAGUCGAGGGGCAGCACAUAAAGUGGUUUACUACUUUUGGUGGCGACCGGCGGACGGGUGCGUAACGCGUAUGCAACCUGCCUCCAACAGGGGGAUAACGGAGAGAAAUUUCCACUAAUACCCCAUAAUAUCAGAAUCGGCAUCGGUUUUGGUUGAAAACUCCGGUGGUUGGAGAUGGGCAUGCGUUGUAUUAGAUAGUUGGUGAGGUAACGGAUCACCAAGUCAACGAUACAUAGGGGGACUGAUAGGUUAGCCCCCCACACUGGUACUGAGACACGGACCAGACUCCUACGGGAGGCAGCAGUGAGGAAUAUUGGUCAAUGGGGGCAACCCUGAACCAGCCAUGCCGCGUGCAGGAAGACGGCUCUAUGAGUUGUAAACUGCUUUUACAAGGGGAUAAAUCGGUGUACGUGUACACCGUUGAAGGUACCUUGGGAAUAAGGAUCGGCUAACUCCGUGCCAGCCGCCGCCGUAC
rnacentral:rRNA from 1 species